GAAUAUUGGACAAUGGGGGGAACCCUGAUCCAGCCAUGCCGCGUGUGUGAAGAAGGCCUUUUGGUUGUAAAGCACUUUAAGCGAGGAGGAGGCUACUAAGAUUAAUACGCUAGGAUAGUGGACGGUACUCGAAGAGUAAGCACCGGCCAACCCUGUGCCAGCAGCCCCGGUAAUACAGAGGGUGCAAGCGUUAAUCGGAUUUACUGGGCGUAAAGCGAGCGUAGGUGGCCAAUUAAGUCAAAUGUGAAAUCACCGAGCUUAACUUGGGAAUUGCAUUCGAUACUGGUUGGCUAGAGUAUGGGAGAGGAUGGUAGAAUUCCAGGUGUAGCGGUGAAAUGCGUAGAGAUCUGGAGGAAUACCGAUGGCGAAGGCAGCCAUCUGGCCUAAUACUGACACUGAGGUGCGAAAGCAUGGGGAGCAAACAG
rnacentral:rRNA from 1 species